UACAGAGGCCCCAAGCGUUACUGAGAAUCACUGGGUUUAAAGGGUGCGUAGGUGGUCCGUUAAGUUCGUUGUGAAAUGCCUGGGCUCAACCCGGGAACUGCUUCGAAUACUGGCGGACUUGAGGCUAGUAGAGGUCACUGGAACUGACGGUGGAGCGGUGAAAUGCGUAGAUAUCGUCAGGAACGCCGGUGGUGAAGACGGGUGACUGGGCUAGUUCUGACACUGAGGCACGAAAGCGUGGGGAGCGAACGGG
rnacentral:rRNA from 1 species